rnacentral:rRNA from 1 species
CCUACGGGAGGCAGCAGCAGGGAAUUUUCGUCAAUGGGCGCAAGCCUGAACGAGCAACGCCGCGUGGAGGAUGACGGCCUUCGGGUUGUAAACUCCUUUUUCGGGGGACGAUGAUGACGGUACCCCGGGAAUAAGGCUCGGCUAACUCUGUGCCAGCAGCCGCGGUAAUACAGAGGAGCCAAGCGUUGUCCGGAUUGACUGGGCGUAAAGCGCACGCAGGCGGUCUGGCGCGUGGGGUGUGAAAUCUGGCCGCUUAACGGCCAGGCGCCAUCCCAUACGGCCGGACUGGAGUGAUGCAGAGGUCGGUGGAAUUGCCGGUGUAGUGGUGAAAUGCGUAGAGAUCGGCAGGAACACCCAGGGGGAAACCAGCCGACUGGGCGUCUACUGACGCUGAGGUGCGAGAGCGUGGGGAGCGAACCGGAUUAGAUACCCGGGUAGUCCACGCCGUAAACGAUGGCCACUCGGCCUUUGGGGGCGGAAUCUCCGUUUCUGGGGGCCUUAGCUAACGCGGGAAGUGGCCCGCCUGGGAACUACGAACGCAAGCUUAAAACUCAAAGGAAUUGACGGA